rnacentral:rRNA from 1 species
UACGGGAGGCAGCAGUGGGGAAUAUUGCACAAUGGGCGCAAGCCUGAUGCAGCCAUGCCGCGUGUAUGAAGAAGGCCUUCGGGUUGUAAAGUACUUUCAGUCGUGAGGAAGGUGUUAAGGUUAAUAACCUUAGCAAUUGACGUUAGCGACAGAAGAAGCACCGGCUAACUCCGUGCCAGCAGCCGCGGUAAUACGGAGGGUGCGAGCGUUAAUCGGAAUUACUGGGCGUAAAGGGCACGCAGGCGGUUAAUUAAGUUGGAUGUGAAAUCCCCGGGCUUAACCUGGGAAUGGCAUUCAAGACUGGUUAGCUAGAGUCUUGUAGAGGGGGUAGAAUUCCAUGUGUAGCGGUGAAAUGCGUAAAGAUGUGGAGGAAUACCGGUGGCGAAGGCGGCCCCUGGACAAAGACUGACGCUCAUGUGCGAAAGCGUGGGGAGCAAACAGGGAUUAGAUACC